GAUGAAGAACGUAGUGAAAUGCGAUAAGUAGUGUGAAUUGCAGAAUUCAGUGAAUCAUCGAAUCUUUGAACGCACAUUGCGCCUUCUAGUAUUCUGGGAGGCAUGCCUGUUUGAGCGUCAUUAAACCUCUCUCAAGUAUGAUUACUUGGAUGUGAAGGAAGAGUACCUUAAACUUAAGGAGUGUUCUCCUUUGAAAUUGAUUAGCAGAUGGUAAUGUUAUUAAAUCCCUGACGUUGUAAGAAAUAACAGUGGUUUUGUAGACUAUUAUCUAGCUUUAAAUUAUAAUUUUUAUUAUGGUUGACCUCAAAUCAGGUAAGGAUACCCGCUGAACUUAAGCAUAUCAAUAAGCGGAGGA
rnacentral:misc_RNA from 1 species